UGCUACUCGAGUUCUGAUUGACUUUGGAGAACCUGAUGAUGUUUUCAUUAAGAAAAAAAGAAGAAAGAAACAAAAAGAGAAAGCUUUGCUUGUUUCCUUUAAAAAAAGAUAUUUUUGGGCUUCCCUGGUUGCGCAGUUGUUGAGAGCCUGCCUGCCGAUGCAGGGGACGCGGGUUCGUGCCCCGGUCCGGGAGGAUCCCACAUGCCGCGGAGCGGCUGGGCCUGUGAGCCAUGGCCGCUGAGCCUGUGCGUCCGGAGCCUGUACUCCGCAACGGGAGAGGCCGCAACAGUGAGAGGUCCGCGUACCGCUAAAAAAAAAAAAAAAAAAAAAGAUAUUUUUUUGGAAAUGUUGUAUGAGAAAAGAGAAGGUUGCCUCUGGGCUGAUGGAUAGUUUUGCUAAAGAAUGAGAGAGAAGUCAGAAAUUCAUUAAAAUAUAUUAAAGAGAUUAAAACCCAUACUUUGAGAUUGGAGAGAUACUGUCUAUUUGACUUAUAAAAGCUUUGGCGCUUCUUUCUGAAGGAAUUCCUUCUUGUGAACAUGGUCAUAUACUUUCUUUCAGAUAUAAAGACUCCAGAAAGAAGUCUUCUCAAGAGCAGCAGUGCAAGCAGCAGUGCAAGCUACCUCCAGUGUGCCCAGCUAAGUGCCCUGAACCUUGCUCACCUACCAAGUGUACAGACCCUUGCCCACCUAUAAAGUGCACUGAGCAAUGCACUCCUGUGUUACCUCCCCAGCAAUGACAGCAGAAGUGCCCACCGAAGAACAAGUAACAGCUUCAGGUUUUGUCUGUCUCUGGAAAGGAUUAGGACAAUCGGCUUAUCUAGUUCCACAACCCCACCUUCAUCUUCUCUUCAAAGCCCAUCAUGGAUACAGAAGAAAUUUUCCACCCUUCAGCUGGCAGUGUGCGUAUGGUGAUUCCUGACAAUCAGAGUUUCCCUAUCUGAAGCUACUAUACCGUUUCCCCUUGGAGGUCCCUGAGAAAGCACCCAAGAGCCUCAGGAGGAAAAGCUGUAUCUCUCCUCCUUGGUGCCCUCUGAGGAUUUUCUCGCUGUCUUCUGUGUCUGUCUCUCACCUGGGCAGGUUUUACCAGAUGAGCAAUUGUUACUUAUCCUCCAUGUCCUGAAUAAAAUGCAAUCCUUUUGUGUGAUGGUAAA